GACGAACGCUGGCGGCGUGCCUAACACAUGCAAGUCGAACGGAAAGGCCCUGCUUUUGUGGGGUGCUCGAGUGGCGAACGGGUGAGUAACACGUGAGUAACCUGCCCUUGACUUUGGGAUAACUUCAGGAAACUGGGGCUAAUACCGGAUAGGAGCUCCUGCUGCAUGGUGGGGGUUGGAAAGUUUCGGCGGUUGGGGAUGGACUCGCGGCUUAUCAGCUUGUUGGUGGGGUAGUGGCUUACCAAGGCUUUGACGGGUAGCCGGCCUGAGAGGGUGACCGGCCACAUUGGGACUGAGAUACGGCCCAGACUCCUACGGGAGGCAGCAGUGGGGAAUAUUGCACAAUGGGCGGAAGCCUGAUGCAGCAACGCCGCGUGCGGGAUGACGGCCUUCGGGUUGUAAACCGCUUUCGCCUGUGACGAAGCGUGAGUGACGGUAAUGGGUAAAGAAGCACCGGCUAACUACGUGCCAGCAGCCGCGGUGAUACGUAGGGUGCGAGCGUUGUCCGGAUUUAUUGGGCGUAAAGGGCUCGUAGGUGGUUGAUCGCGUCGGAAGUGUAAUCUUGGGGCUUAACCCUGAGCGUGCUUUCGAUACGGGUUGACUUGAGGAAGGUAGGGGAGAAUGGAAUUCCUGGUGGAGCGGUGGAAUGCGCAGAUAUCAGGAGGAACACCAGUGGCGAAGGCGGUUCUCUGGGCCUUUCCUGACGCUGAGGAGCGAAAGCGUGGGGAGCGAACAGGCUUAGAUACCCUGGUAGUCCACGCUGUAAACGGUGGGUACUAGGUGUGGGGUCCAUUCCACGGGUUCCGUGCCGUAGCUAACGCUUUAAGUACCCCGCCUGGGGAGUACGGCCGCAAGGCUAAAACUCAAAGGAAUUGACGGGGCCCCGCACAAGCGGCGGAGCAUGCGGAUUAAUUCGAUGCAACGCGUAGAACCUUACCUGGGUUUGACAUGGAUCGGGAGUGCUCAGAGAUGGGUGUGCCUCUUUUGGGGUCGGUUCACAGGUGGUGCAUGGCUGUCGUCAGCUCGUGUCGUGAGAUGUUGGGUUAAGUCCCGCAACGAGCGCAACCCUUGUUCACUGUUGCCAGCACGUUAUGGUGGGGACUCAGUGGAGACCGCCGGGGUCAACUCGGAGGAAGGUGGGGAUGGCGUCAAGUCAUCAUGCCCCUUAUGUCCAGGGCUUCACGCAUGCUACAAUGGCUGGUACAGAGAGUGGCGAGCCUGUGAGGGUGAGCGAAUCUCGGAAAGCCGGUCUCAGUUCGGAUUGGGGUCUGCAACUCGACCUCAUGAAGUCGGAGUCGCUAGUAAUCGCAGAUCAGCAACGCUGCGGUGAAUACGUUCCCGGGGCU
rnacentral:rRNA from 1 species